rnacentral:lncRNA from 1 species
AGAAAGGGAAUUUAUUNNNNNNNNNNAUGUUGGCCAGGCUGGUCUUGAACUCCUGACCUCAAAUGAUGCAUCCAUGUCUCCAGCUUCCUUGACUGUUGUUUUAGGAUACUGUUACCUUCUUGCUUAUCAAGUCGCUGAUUUACUUCUCGGAGUUAUCUAAGUAACUGGAAUUUCCCUUGAAGGAACUCAAGAUUUUCCUUGAUUUCCAUGCUUGGAGGGCUCGCAGGCCCCUGAAGAGAGGGUUGCAGUCAGGCGGGAGUCCCCACGUAGAUUUCUGCAGCUCUGAGGAGCAGCUCCCUCUGCAGAGCCUGCCCCACCAGCUCGUGGUUCUGACUCUGAGCUCUGGUCACCCUCCUGUGUUGUGGCCUGCAGGCUCCCUCCAGGCAGGAAGCCGGCCCCCCCAACACAGCGUUAGAAUCAAGCAUUGCUGUGGGGUAGGGAAAGUGACCCCCUCACAGCCCGGAAAUGGGAUGGCUCUGUAGUUUCCUCUCUGGGUUCCAGUUAGAUUCCUUUCGGGAAAGUGAACUUGGAUAUGGAGUUGAGUGACCCCGAGUGCACCCCCGCAGUAAAUGAUGCUCAGGACUAAAGUGACUGAAGGCUUGUGGGGAAACAGAUGCGAACAAAACAGCAGUAUUCAUUUUCUAAUUAAAAGCUUGUGAAAAUCAAUGUCAUUGAAUCUGAGAAACUUUAUUUCGAACAAAGAUCACACAUGAUAGAGUGCAUACUACAGCAUCGCUCCACCGGAGCACAGGACAGGUGUGCCAUGGAGGCCGACAGUUGUGGAAGGAGGACAAUGCACGGCCCGGCCCACCUGCCGCAGGCACCGCCAGGAGGUGUCUGCCUCUUUGGCUCCUGCACACACCUGCCCCUGCAGGACUCGAGCUGGUCUCAGGCACCUGGUCAUAUUCCAGGUGGAACCCACGAGACCCUUCUUAUCCUAAGCUUCCCAUAGGAUCUAGGCACAUCUUUUUUCUUUUGUUUUAAGCCACCCAAGGCUGCCGAAACAGCAUCGGCGUCCUCUCUCUCUGUCCUCUCCAUCUCGCCCUGUGGAGCGCUGUCCCCGGCACACAAUUCUGGCGCUGAGGAGGGGGCUGGGCGUGGUUGGGUCAGUGACUGGUGAUGAAGAAGGUUUGGAGGACUCCCAGCCUUGAUCCAUUAAGAUGGCGUGACUGGGGAGCAGAAUUCGCAGAAGCGCACAAGCCAUUUUUACGUGUGUGUAAUGUCAGCGAAUUGUCCGUUUCUAUGAAAUCACUCUGGAAAAACUAGUUUCUGUCCUCAUUUACUUUUCAGAGAAGAAAUGUUCCCUUGAAGCCUCCAGAUGAAGCCAAGGUAAGUUUUUGAACAUGGAAGGGCAAGCCAAAUAUUAUUCUCGCAGGGAAAGUUGUGUCCAGCCUUUGAGGUGGGGAGGUCUGUGUAUAUGACAGCGUUUAGAAAUGGAGUCCGUUUCUGAUCAGUAAGAUCAAUAGCGUUUCUCCUCCUCUUUUCAUGACUUGAGGUGAGUGGUGUGAAGCCGCAGUAUGUUCUUCCAAAUCCAGAAAUGGGUAGUUUCAGAGCAGUUGGCCCCGCUGGGUGCUGUCCUUGUGGGACACCCUUGCAAGGGUCGGGCAGGAUGGGCCUUCUCGGGACCUGCUUGGUGAGUAGCAGGUGUUGUCCCAAGCACAGUGGGCUCUGGGGCCAGUGCUGGCAGGGCAGUGCUGUGAGCCCAGACUGCUGCACCUGCCGAUUGGCAGGUGUGUCUCUGACAGUCAGCAGGCAUGGGCUUGGGCUUUGGUCCAGGGUCCCUGGGAACCUGGAGAGACCCCUUAACAUCUGUCUGAGGGCAGAGGCCGAGCUGCAGGGAGCUGAUGAGAGAGUAUGUGUUAGGGUGGCUGUAGUCUAGCCCUGAGGACACGGCUUGCUGGGAAAGGAAAGGGAAGGUUGUGUGCUCUGUGAAGUGCCUGAGAAAUAGUCCUGGACCCUAAAAUUCCGUGUGUCUUCCUGUUGCAUAAUGUCCCUCCCCAAUUUCUUUAGCUCCAAAAAGUUAACAAAGGAUUGUUAGUUUGCAUUGUUGGUCUCAGUAGGUUUUUCUUUGACAUGGAUUUGCAUAUCCGUUCGUGAGCUCCAACCUGACCGUCCCUUGAACAGCAGCCUCAGUGAACAGGGCUUGGUCUUGUCACUUACUGAGGGGUGGGUUCACGUUUAGCAAAUAAUUAGAGUGGUUUCAAUAGCGAGUGUGAAGUACCAUUUCAUUUUUCGUUUGAUGUUUCAUUUGCGCUUGAUGCGUGUCUGUCUCCACAGGCUGGGGACACCCUAGGAGACAGCAGCAGCUCUGUUCUGGAGUUCAUGUCGAUGAAGUCCUAUCCGGACGUCUCUGUGGAUAUCUCCAUGCUCAGCUCUCUGGGUGAGUUGUAACAGGCGCUUUCCCACAGCACCCGGUGAAGGUGUGAUAGAGGAAGAAAACACGCAGCCUCCACCUCCUCUCCCUUCCUGACUAGACAGGGAUGCCAGGAAAAUCUUUUGUUACAGUAUUUGGUCUUUGUCCCAGGUUUUUGGACCAUAGCACCUAAAACCCUUGGAAUCUCCUGAGUGUUGUGUCUUUUUUAAGCUAAUGAGAAGUGGUUGCAGCCCCUGGGUAACCUCAGGAUGGGGUCUGGCCGAUCCCCAGUGGCUGUGGAUUUCAUCAGUGUUGCCUACCGCCUCCAUGAAAUCCCAAAAGGUGGGGUUCCCUAGGGAGCCUCAUUGCCGGACGCCUGGAGGCUCUGGGAAGAAGGCAGCCCCUUCCCACGGGUCCCCUCUGCAUCGCUCCCACCUGGGGCCCAUCCGUACCCUGGGUGACACCCCGCAGAAUAAAUGGGUAAAUGUCAGCCUAGUGUGUGGACAGAAGAGUCAAACUCUGCAGGGUAUUUAGAGAGGUUUCUUCUGAGUGAAAUAUGAAGACCGUGGUUGUGACACAGUCCCAGGAGGUCCCAAGAACAUUUGCCGAGGAGGACUGGUCUGCAGCUUGUUUUGAUAUGUUUUAGGGAGACAGAGGCCAUCAGU